GUCCUGGCAGUAAACGGUGCACGCUUGGUGUGGCAGGAAUCGACCCCUGCCGUGCCGGAGCUAACGCGUUAAGCGUGCCGCCUGGGAAGUACGGUCGCAAGAUUAAAACUCAAAGAAAUUGACGGGGACCCCGCACAAGCGGUGGAGUAUGUGGCUUAAUUCGAUGCAACGCGAAGAACCUUACCCGGGCUUGACAUGCAUUUUGUCGGCGGUGAAAGCCGUCUAGUGUAGCAAUACACGGGAUGCACAGGUGUUGCAUGGCUGUCGU
rnacentral:rRNA from 1 species